UACGGAGGGUGCGAGCGUUGUCCGGAAUCAUUGGGCGUAAAGGGCGCGUAGGUGGCUUCUCAAGCGUGCGGUGAAAGCCUGGGGCUCAACCCCGGGUCGGCCGUGCGAACUGGGGGGCUGGAGCACUGUAGAGGCAGGCGGAAUUCCGGGUGUAGCGGUGGAAUGCGUAGAGAUCCGGAGGAAGACCGGUGGCGAAGGCGGUCUGCUGGGCAGUUUCUGACACUGAUGCGCGACAGCGUGGGGAGCAAACAGG
rnacentral:rRNA from 1 species